UGAGACACGGCCCCAGACUCCUACGGGGAGGCAGCAGUGGGGAAUUUUAGACAAGGGGCGCAAGCCUGAUCCAGCAAUGCCGCGUGCAGGAAGAAGGCCUUCGGGGUUGUAAACUGCUUUUGUACGGAACGAAACGGCUCUGGUUAAUACCUGGGGCUAAUGACGGUACCGUAAGAAUAAGCACCGGCUAACUACGUGCCAGCAGCCGCGGUACAUACGUAGGGUGCAAGCGUUAAUCGGAAUUACUGGGCGUAAAGCGUGCGCAGGCGGUUUUGUCGACGACAGGCGUGAAAUCCCCGGGCUCAACCUGGGAAUGGCGCUUGUGACUGCAAAGCUGGAGUGCGGCAGAGGGGGAUGGAAUUCCGCGUGUAGCAGUGAAAUGCGUAGAUAUGCGGAGGAACACCGAUGGCGAAGGCAAUCCCCUGGGCCUGCACUGACGCUCAUGCACGAAAGCGUGGGGAGCAAACAGGAUUAGAUACCCUGGUAGUCCACGCCCUAAACGAUGUCAACUGGUUGUUGGGUCUCUUCUGACUCAGUAACGAAGCUAACGCGUGAAUGUUGACCGCCUGUGGGAGUA
rnacentral:rRNA from 1 species